rnacentral:rRNA from 1 species
UACGGAGGGGGCUAGCGUUGUUCGGAAUUACUGGGCGUAAAGCGCGCGUAGGCGGACCUGCAAGUCGGGGGUGAAAGCCCGAGGCUCAACCUCGGAACUGCCUUCGAUACUGCGGGUCUCGAGUCCGGGAGAGGUGAGUGGAAUUCCUAGUGUAGAGGUGAAAUUCGUAGAUAUUAGGAAGAACACCAGUGGCGAAGGCGGCUCACUGGCCCGGUACUGACGCUGAGACCCGAAAGCCAGGGUAGCGAACCGG